rnacentral:rRNA from 1 species
UACAGAGGGGGCAAGCGUUAUUCGGAAUUAUUGGGCGUAAAGGGCGCGUAGGCGGCCUGGCAAGUGACGGGUGAAAGCCCUCGGCUUAACCGAGGAACUGCCUGUCAGACUGUUAGGCUUGAGACCGGGAGAGGUGAGUGGAAUUCCCAGUGUAGCGGUGAAAUGCGUAGAUAUUGGGAGGAACACCAGUGGCGAAGGCGGCUCACUGGACCGGUACUGACGCUCAUGCACGAAAGCGUGGGGAGCAAACAGG